GACGAACGCUGGCGGUGUGCUUAACACAUGCAAGUCGAACGGUAAGGCCCUUUCGGGGGUACACGAGUGGCGAACGGGUGAGUAACACGUGAGUAACCUGCCCUCAUCUCUGGGAUAACAGUCGGAAACGGUUGCUAAUACUGGAUAUGAGCCUGCAAGGCAUCUUGUGGGUUGGAAAGAUUUUUUGGUUGGGGAUGGACUCGCGGCCUAGCCGCUUGUUGGUGAGGUAGUGGCUCACAAAGGCUUCGCCGGGUAGCCGGCCUGAGAGGGCGAACGGCAACAUUGGGACUGAGAUACGGCCCAAACUCCUACGGGAGGCAGCAGUGGGGAAUAUUGCACAAUGGACGGAAGUCUGAUGCAGCAACGCCGCGUGCGGGAUGACGGCCUUCGGGUUGUAAACCGCUUUCAAUUGUGACGAAGCUUUUUGUGACGGUAGCAGUAGAAGAAGCACCGGCUAACUACGUG
rnacentral:rRNA from 1 species